rnacentral:rRNA from 1 species
CGGCGGACGGGUGAGUAACGCGUGGGUAACCUGCCUCAUACAGGGGGAUAACAGUUAGAAAUGACUGCUAAUACCGCAUAAGACCACGGUACCGUAUGGUACAGUGGUAAAAACUCCGGUGGUAUGAGAUGGACCCGCGUCUGAUUAGGUAGUUGGUGGGGUAACGGCCUACCAAGCCGACGAUCAGUAGCCGACCUGAGAGGGUGACCGGCCACAUUGGGACUGAGACACGGCCCAG